AAGUCGUAACAAGGUUUCCGUAGGUGAACCUGCGGAAGGAUCAUUACCGAAAAAAAAUACUCAAAUAUGGUGGGUGUGCAAAUUGAAAAGCCAUGUAUAUGUUGUACAUGGUGAUUCUCGCACGUCUGCCAUUUUGUGUUAAACCCCUUGUGUGAACACUGUUUUCUAUGUGCUUGUCAAUGGCGGAAAGCAUGCGCGCACAAGUGCAUGCAUGCCCUUCUACCAUUUUCUUGCACAUGAUCUACACCAUUUUAUCAUCAAUGCCAAUCUUUUGGACUUAAUCUGACAUUGAUUGGAGCUGUCAAAAGCAAAAAUCAAAAUAACCAAAACAACUUUUAACAACGGAUCUCUAGGCUCUC
rnacentral:misc_RNA from 1 species